AACGAACGCUGGCGGCGCGCCUAAUACAUGCAAGUCGAGCGAGAAGACGUAGCAAUACGUUUGUAAAGCGGCGAACGGGUGAGGAAUACAUGGGUAACCUACCCUCGAGUGGGGAAUAACUAGCCGAAAGGUUAGCUAAUACCGCGUACGCUCCUUGGACUUCGGUUCAGGGAGGAAAGCGAUACCGUGGGUAUCGCGCUCUUGGAUGGGCUCAUGUCCUAUCAGCUUGUUGGUGAGGUAACGGCUCACCAAGGCUUCGACGGGUAGCUGGUCUGAGAGGACAAUCAGCCACACUGGCACUGCGACACGGGCCAGACUCCUACGGGAGGCAGCAGUAAGGAAUAUUGCGCAAUGGGCGAAAGCCUGACGCAGCGACGCCGCGUGGGGGAUGAAGGUCUUCGGA
rnacentral:rRNA from 1 species